UACGUAGGGAGCAAGCGUUGUUCGGAUUUACUGGGCGUAAAGCGCGCGCAGGCGGACUGAUCAGUCUGGGGUGAAAUCUCACGGCUCAACUGUGAGCGGUCCCUGGAUACUGUCAGUCUUGAGAUGUCUAGAGGAGAGCGGAAUUCCCGGUGUAGUGGUGGAAUGCGUAGAUAUCGGGAAGAACACCAGUGGCGAAAGCGGCUCUCUGGGGACCAUCUGACGCUGAGGCGCGAAAGCGUGGGGAGCGAACCGG
rnacentral:rRNA from 1 species